GCCGGAGUGGUGGAACUGGUAGACACAUGGGACUUAAAAUCCCAUGGGGCUUUGCCCCGUGCGGGUUCGAGCCCCGCCUCCGGCA
rnacentral:tRNA from 1 species